AUUGAACGCUAGCGGCAGGCCUAACACAUGCAAGUCGAACGAGUGGCGGACGGUUGAGUAAUGUCUGGGAAACUGCCCGAUGGAGGGGGAUAACUACUGGAAACGGUAGCUAAUACCGCAUACCAUCGGCUUUGCCCAGAUUGGAUUAGCUAGUAGGUGGGGUAACGGCUCACCUCGGCGACGAUCCCUAGCUGGUCUGAGAGGAUGACCAGCCACACUGGGACUGAGACACGGGCCAGACUCAUACGGGAGGCAGCAGUGGGGAAUAUUGAACAAUGGGCGAAAGCCUGAUGCAGCCAUGCCGCGUGUAUGAAGAAGGCCUUCGGGUUGUAAAGUACUUUCAGCGAGGAGGCGUUACUCGCAGAAGAAGCACCGGCUAACUCCGUGCCAGCAGCCGCGGUAAUAC
rnacentral:rRNA from 1 species